rnacentral:ncRNA from 1 species
GCUCAUCACCUUCACCUACGGAUCGUCGAGCACGUACCUGCUCGGAGAAGGAGAAAUUC